rnacentral:rRNA from 1 species
GCAGGCUGAAAUUCGCCUGUAUGAAGCCGGAAUUGCUAGUAAUGGCAGGUCAGCAUACUGCCGUGAAUACGUUCCCGGGCCUUGUACACACCGCCCGUCACACCAUGAGAGUUGGGGAUACCCAAAGCCCGUGAGCCAACUUUUAGAGGCAGCGGUCUAAGGUAGAAUCAAUGAUUGGGGUGAAGUCGUAACAAGGUAUC